GAUGAACGCUGGCGGCGUGCCUAAUACAUGCAAGUCGAGCGAACAGACGAGGAGCUUGCUCCUCUGACGUUAGCGGCGGACGGGUGAGUAACACGUGGAUAACCUACCUAUAAGACUGGGAUAACUUCGGGAAACCGGAGCUAAUACCGGAUAAUAUAUUGAACCGCAUGGUUCAAUAGUGAAAGACGGUUUUGCUGUCACUUAUAGAUGGAUCCGCGCCGCAUUAGCUAGUUGGUAAGGUAACGGCUUACCAAGGCGACGAUGCGUAGCCGACCUGAGAGGGGGGGUGGCCCCCCGGGGCACUGCACCCGGCUCAGGCCCCCGCGGGGCGGAGCAAGGAGGGAUUCUCCCGAAGUGGGGAAAGGUUGACCGGGCAACCCCGGGGGGAGUAAUAAGGUUCUGGGGACCGAAAACCUUUUUUAUGGGGGAAAAAAAAAUGUGUAAGUAACUAUGCACGUCUUGACGGUCCUUAAUAAAAAAGCCCCGGCAAACUACGUC
rnacentral:rRNA from 1 species